UUCGUGUACGGCACAGAUGAGGAGCGCAACAAGACGCUCAAGCUCAUCCCGCACAUUGCCAGCGGCAGCUGGAUGAUCAAGCAAUCGGUGGGCACCACGCCCGUGAUCCUGGGCAAGGCGCUCAAGGUGUCGUACCACUGCACGCCCACCUACAUCGAGGUGGACAUCGACAUCUCCGCCAACAGCGUCGCCAACUACGUCACCGGCAUGGUGCGCGGAGCCACCAGCUCGCUCGUGGUGGACCUGGGCUUCGUGCUUGAGGGUAAGACGGCGGGCGAGCAGCCGCGGCUGCAGCCACGGCGGCGGGCUCCACUCCAGCAAUUGUCGCCGACUGGAUGUGUGUCGCCUCCAAGCGGCCAGGCCGCGUACGUGCCUGCCGCGUGCCACUGUGCCGCAGGGCUGCAAUGUCUCGCGCACGCGCACGCAUGCGACCACACGACACGCUUCCAUCCCCUGACUUGCCCUGUGUGUUGCCUGACCCGGCCCAACCCGACCUGACCCGGCCCUACCCGCGCACGCACUUCACGGCCACGCAGGCCAGGCUCCGUGGGAGCUGCCCGAGUGCCUUCUGGGCUGCUUCCGUCUGGCCAACCUGGACUGCAACAAGGCCGCGGUGGACCUGGACUGGAGCACGGAGAUCCCGCUCACCGGCUGCCCCGAGGAGCUCAAGAAGUAGAAAGGGGUGCAGGGCAGAGGACACAGGAGGCAGCAGCGGCGGGAGCGGGUGCGAUUGCUGGGUCCAAGACUGUGCUGCUAUGGCGCUGCGAGAUUGGGGUGCGAAGCGUGGGGCAGGAGGACAGGAGGGCGUGGCAAGACGCUACUGAGGCUGGGGAGGUGAGGUGCAGCAUACGUAAGACAAAGCCGCAGCAGGCUCGGCGAUGUUGCUGCUUGCGGCUGACUUGCAGAGGAGGAGGGCGAUGUACGGUAUGGGGACAGGCCGGGAGGGGCCCACGGGUGGGGCCGUAAGGAGAGGCACCAUUAGGUACCGGUGGUUGAGCACAAUGGGAUGGGAUGGGAUGGGGUGGCAGUGCAAUGCAAGCAGUGAGCCCCCGUGCGUGUGUGAUGUGAUUUUGGCGUGAUUAAUGCGGAUUGAAAGCCUGUUCAGUGCAAAGGCAAUAAGAGGCUUGCCAUUGCCAGGACUGCGUGACUAGCACACGCUGGGCGGUAGGAGUGCCCGUGCAGACGGGCCUGGUGCUGCAGGGGGGCUGAAUGUGCGUGGCUGUGGGGACUGCCGAAUUGGUUCAUGCUGCAGGGAUUGGGCACUGUGCGCCUGCGUGCGCUGGUGGGUGAACUGACGGCAGGGCCCACGGCUGUAUGUGCGUUCACUUGGGUGUUGUACAUGCGAUGUGUCCGGUAGUAGGACGGCUUCCUAUGUUGUGGACUUGUGGUAAUCCCACGCACGCACUGAAUGGGUCGGGGACGUUGGUGCGCGUGGCGGGGCAGCGGUGGUGGUGUCGCCAAUGAUGGGGUACGGGGCGUGUCCGACACACGAACACUUUUGUGCACUGCGCCUCAGGGGCUUAUGUGUUGAGCUUAAACGUCACUGGCACGGCUCCGCCGGGCUUAGGCACACGCAACGCCACGGGCGCCGGCGGCCCAAGGGUCGAUUUUGAACGAUCACUUAAGCAGUUUGCCCUGGGGCUCGCGCCCAGCACUCAAAGACUGUGCAAAUGCAACUGCAAGAAGCCGCCGCAGGCAAUGGCGGCGGCGGCAGGCCGCAGCAGGCGUUUGAGUUCUGGUCAGGUGGGCGGCCGCCGUCCUGGUCCGAGCUCUCAACUUCCAGCGUCAAUCACAACAGCGCAGCCGCGUUGUCAGCAGCACGCGAUGCCGGGCCCUGCGGCGGCCAGUUCCAUUUCCCAGUCGUUGACUGGAACUCGGGCGCGGCUGCUGCAGCAGCGAUGACAGGAGCUGCUACGACACUGGCGCCGGCACCGCCGGGUCCGCCGCAGCCGCACCGGCUGCUGCCGCCGCUGGUGGAGGGCGUGGCCUACAAGAACACGCGGGUGGCGGGUGUGGUGGUGCGGCGGCGCCUGGCGCUGCUGAGGCCGCCCGGCGCCAUGCCCUCGCCACUAGCAGCCGCUGCAGGCGCCGGCAGCACCAUCACUGCCGCCCCCGGCGUAGCGGUCGCGAACCGCAACGGUGGAGUCGCCGGCAAUGUCAGCGGGGCUGGGGCGCGCAGCACUGGCAGCAGGACUGGCAGCACCAGCACCGGCACAAGCGGCACCAGCGGCAUCCCACGCGCGCUCAUCACGUGCCACGCCCCCGACCUGUCCGCUGCCGAGCAGCCGCCCAAGGCCGUGACGCGCUGGGUGCUGGACGCCGGCUGCGCCCUGCGGCCGACGGGGGCGGGGGCGCUGGUGGCGGCGGGGCCGAUGCGGAGGGGCUUGCGGCGGUCGGGGACGUGGGCGCUCACGGCGGCGCUCCACGGCACCUCCACACACGUGCUGCUGGUGCGUGGGGGACUGGGGUUGGCUGGGGGGAAAUACCUCGUUUGUGGGCACCAAGCAAAUCAUCGAGGACAAGAUGGGGUCAUCGAUAGUCAAGGGGAAGUCGGGACAUGUGCAGGCUGCUUACUGGAUUCUCAGAUGCAAGACUCGGCAUACCAACCGCCGCCGGUCCUUCACCUGCCACCGGUCGUCCUUCCUGCUUCUCGCCUGCCUGCCCUGCCUGCCUGCCUUAUCUGCUUCUCCCCUGCCUGCCCUGCCUGCCUGCCUUAUCUGCUUCUCCCCUGCCUGCCCUGCCUGCCUGCCUUAUCUGCUUCCCCCGUGCCUGCCUUAUUGCCUGCCUGCAGUACGAGGUGACCAUUGAGUGGCCGCCCGCCUGGGCCGCCUCAGGCUACACCUCCCUCACCCUGGGCUGGGAGAGCCCGGAGGAGGCGGCGCACUGGCACACCCUGCUGGCGGCAGUGCUGCGCGCGCUGCGGGCCGCACGAGCCCAGCGACAGGCGGAGGUGCAGCAGGAGCAGGAGCAGGCGCAGGCGCAGGCGCGGGGACACGGGCAGGAGCAGCACGGGAGGAGCGGUGGCGUUGGGGGUGCUGCUGUUGCAGCUGCACCAUCCAUCAGCGCAGCAGUGGCGGCAGCCGCAACGGAAGCAAGCGCUGCGGCGCUGCAGUUGAGCGCUGUGCUCGCAGCCGCUUCGGCCAGGGACGUCAGCAACGGAAGCGGCGGCACCGGCGGGCUGAGUGGCCGUGACUUCACCCCCAGCGCCCUGCCGGGUGUGGCCGCCAGCAGCGGAAUGGGAGGCAGGCCCCGCGGCCCGCCCUGGGGCCGGCCGCAGUCCAGCGGCGCGGCGGCCCAUGCGGCACGGGACCAGCAGCCCAGCUAUAACUACAUGUCAGCUGUGAGCCGGGAGGGGCCCGGUGACGAGGACGAGCAGGAGGAGGCUGCGACGUCGGAGGCAGGGGCAAGCAGCAGCGCUAGCAGUGUCAGUGACUUGAGCAGGGAGGCGGCGGCAGCCGGGGGCGAGGAGGACGACGGCGUGACGCACUGGGGGUGUGAGGAGGCGGGUCCGGGAGGCGAGCCGGGUGACAGCGCUCCCUGGGUGCCGUACAGGUGGGUGGGCGCACGUGCAUGUUGUAUACGAGCGCGUGAAACAUGUGUGUACGAGCGCGUGAAGCAUGUGUGUGACUGUGAGCAGCUUGCCAUAUGUACCUUGUUAGCUGGUCAGCCCCACGUCGCCAACAGCCGCGCCUAAGCCCCGCUGUGCCUGCCCCUACGGCCUGGCCCCCCACCCCCACCCACGGCUACCUCGCCUGCCGCUCAAACGACAGGCUUAGCAACGGCGUCGCCAUAUACCGACACAGCGUGCCGGUACGUGUGGCCGUGUGUGGAGGUGUUCGGGUCUGUUCGGGUGUACCGAGUGUGAGGCAUACGUGUUCUGCCCACGGGUGGAAAGUGCCCACCGCUGAGCUGUCCCGGUGUAGAGUAUCAAGCAUUGCGCCAUGGAUGCAUGCGGGUGCUCCCUGAACGCAGCAGGAAGCAGCCGGCACGACUGGGGGGGCGGGCGCUGGUGGGGCCGGCGCUGGCGGCACCGGCGGGGCGCACGAGUACAUGGUGUCGUGCGUGAUCCGCGGCCGGCCGCAGCGUGUGGCCGACGCGCUGCUGCGGCUGCGAGCCAACACCACCAUCCUGGGGCCGGCGGAGGCGGCGGAGGUGCUGCAGCCGGCGGACAAGGACAAAGAGGCGGCAGCAACGCCAGGGGCAGCGGCAGCGGUGGACACCAGCGGCCAGGGCGGCGCGGGGCCGUCAGCAGGCGUCGAUGCAGCUAGCAGCGGUGGCAGUGGCGGCCCGCAUCCCGGUGCACAGGUACGUUGCAUCUACCCCUGCGAUGUUAUAGUUCAACGGCAUUUCUCUAUGCUGCCGGUUCUCGAUGAGAUACUGAAGUGUUAUGCCAGGGCCGACUCAGCACAAUCAUAGUGCUACUGGUACUGGUACUUGCUGCUGGUGCUACAGCUACGGGUACUGUUGCUGCUGGUGCUGCUGCUGCUGGCGGUGCGGGUUGCAGGUGCUGCGUGUGGUGCUGUGCGCGGGCGGCGCGGCGGGAUGGUGCUGUGCGCCGCGUGAGCUGGUGGUGGAGGUGCUGCGGCGGGUGGGUGCGUGCUGGCGUGCAUGGAUGUCGAUUGCGUGUGCGCGUUUGCGACGGCGACAUGCGCGGCAGGGCUAGGGCUCAGGCUUCCAGGGCUGGGGCUUCCUCGGCCUGCAUCUCUUCCCGCGGGCCCGUGUCCCCUCCGCUUCAACCCUCCCCCCUGCUUCCUCCCGGCAGGACGCGGGCGAGGGUGUCAUUAUGGUGCUGUUCAAAUCCGUGGAUCCGCCCAGCGGUGAGGUCGUGGUGUGUGUGUAGGGAGCAUGCAAAGGGAUGACACGCCCCCGCUAUCAGGACCUCGAAGUUAGCGGAGCGAGCUCCGGUGAAGGCUAAUCUGGGUGCAGUUAACCCACUCGGGAGGCGUAGCGGGCUUCGACCCGAGCUCACCCAAGCUUUACAGCCGUUGCCUUGAAGUUAGCCCACGGCUAAUCCACCGGAGCUGGAUGAGAGCGGCCAAAACCGCUUGUGUCAUCCCUCCGGAGCAUGCAGCAGGGCCGCAACAGGUGGCGCACCAGGGUGCGUGCACGUCAGCGCAUGUAUGGGCCUCCCAGGCAGACAGGCAGGCAGGCAGGCAGGAAGAAACUCGCACCCACGCCCCCCUGCCUACAGGCCUAGCAGGGUCCCGCAGUGGCCAGCAGCAGCUGUACGGGCGGGGCCUGUACCGGCGGCCGGUGCGCGGCAGUGUGGCGGGCGGCUACACCAUUGCGGGGCUCAAGGGCAAGGGCACGCACUCGGAGGAGUCCCUGGUCACCUGCAUCAUCAAGGUGGGCGGCCGGCAGCGAUGAUGGGGAAAGAGGAAGAAAGCGAAGGGGGAGGGGAAGGGGGAGGAGAGAGGGCUGCCACUGGCAUGUCAAAUGCUUCGUGCCCAUCUGACCCCAACUCUAGAUCGACCUGGGCGGCGUGUGCGCGGACAAGUCGUGGGCCCGGCCGCUGGUGGCCCUGGCUGGCUGGACGGACGCGUUCCUGGAGCGCAUCCUCAUGUCCGUCACGCUGCUGCGAGACGAGGUGGAGCAGCGGCGCUUCACGGUGCAGCCGUUCAAGAUGGUGUCGUCGGCCAAGGCCAGGUUCAACGAGGUGAGGCGCGGGGGGGGGGGGGGGGCGGGAGGAGGGGCGGGGGGAGGGGUAUGUGCCCGAGCCCAACGAAGGGGGCGGGAGGAGGGGCAGGGGCCGGGGAGUUGUGUUCUUACCCUGUACCGGAAGCAGCAAGUAAGAGGCACGGGGUCGCAGGACACGACGCGCUGGGUGACGGGUGAUGGGCUGGAGGGGGCUGGUUGCGUGGGUCAAUGAUGGCGCCAGGGACGUUGAGAGGCAUGGCUGCGGCGUUGGGUGCCGAGGAGGCCGGUGCACUUGCCGCCCUCAGGUGAAACACAACUCUCUCAUGCUGUACAAACUGAGGAUUCCGCAUUACAUAUACAGGCGGGGCGGCUGGUCGUGGGAGAUGGCGAGGCGCCAGCGCAGCAGCAGGAACAUGCGCCGCAGGUAGGUGUGUGCGCGUUUGUUGGCAGGGCAAGAAAUGAUAGGCACCGAUGCGGCUGAUUUGUCACCUGUUCGUCUGCCAAGGGCGGCAUCUGCUUGUGGGCUUUUGCUCUCCCUCGUGCGCGCACGUUCCUCAUGCCAUCUGCCGUGCACAAGAGCCCCUACACCACACCGCGGACCCACUCCCCACGCAUCCUUCCCUCCCCGCGUAACCCUCCAGGCCUUCAUUGGUGGACUGGUCCGCAGCGGCAGACCGGCGCCGCCGUUGCCUCGCAUGGCCUCCCUCCGUCUCAUCUCCAUCCGGGGGCCGCCAGCGCCAACCGACGCCACCGACGCCACCGACGCCACUAACGCCGCCGCCACCGCCGCCGCCGCCGCCGCCAACACUGACCUGUACUCCGCCGCCGGCGGGCCCACUGCGACAGAGCUUGGCGGUCCUACUGCGCUGCUGGUGACUCAUGAGGGCGGCGCGCAGCAGGGAGAGAUGGCCCCGGCAUCCCCAGCAGCCGCUGCCGCUGCCGCUGUCGCCGCACGCGGAGCCGCCCCUGCUGCUGCACCCGGCGCAGAGGGCCAAGACGGCGCCGUCGCGGUGCCGCAGGCACCACUACCGACAUUCGGAGUAGGGGCAGCGGCGGCCGCAGCGGCAGCACAGGCGCCGCCCAACCGACCCAUCAUCCAGAUCCGGUCCCAACCCCAACCCCAACCCCAGCCCCAACCCCAACCCCAGCCCCCGACCCCGGCCCAGCCCCAGCCCCAGCCCCAGCAUCCGACCCAGACCCAGGGCACCGGCAGCCAUCAGCAGCUGCUGCAGCCUCCGUCGGCAGCAGGAACAGCACCCCCACUAGCAGGAGCACUGCCGUACACGCCGCCCUACGCCGCCGCCGCCACUGCCGCCGUGUUGGAUCUGCCGUACAUCCAGUCUCUGGCGCUGCUGCCGCGCAGCUGCUGGAGUGAGAUCCACGUGCCUGGCACCGACGCGCCGUUCCGGGUGCGUGCAUGUGUGUACUUGCGUGCGUGCGUGCGUUCUUGCGUGCGUGCUUGCAUGUAUACAUGGCGGCAGGUACCAUUUGAGUGGACGUACGCGGCAUUGGUUGCGUUGUAAUUACGUGCUUGAGUCGUUGCGCAUUCCUGGCGUUGCGCACCUCACCCAUGAAUGGCUCAUAACGUCCGCCCGCCUUGUAACCUACCCGGCGCCUGCAGGUGCGCGGCCGUACCUACCUCAAGGAUCGCAAGAAGGUGCCGGCCGGGCUCCCCGCCUUCCGCCUGGGGGCGGUGGAGAUGGUUGUGCUGCCACCGCCCGGCACCGCCGUGGGAGACGAGGGCGGCGAUGGCGCGGGUGCUGUGGUGAGCGGCGGCGGCCGCCGUGGUGGUGGCAGCGGCACGCCGGGUGUGUUGCAGCACGUGGGCCGCUUCGUCCCGUCGGUGCGGCGCAGCGGCGCACCCUUCUCCAUCAUCAUCAACCUGGUGAGCCACAUGCGCCGUUUGUGUGAGCCACAUGCGCCGUUAGUGUGAGGCACAUGCGCCGUUUGUGUGAGGCACAACUCGUGCUCGGCGAUGACUUCGGCCUAGUGGCUUACUGCUAGGCUUACCUGUGGAUGAAAACGUUGAGGCCGUGCUAAGGCGGUUGAUCGUUUGGGCCCCCUGAACGCACAUCGCAUCCCACCCGCUGUCUGCGCCUGCUGGCUUGUUGCCGCCUGCUUGGCGGUACCCGUGCUGCCCCUAGCCACCCCUUCCGCGCCACCCUUGCUGCUACGACUGUCCAACAUCCACGUGCCCUCACUCACUCCCAACAGGUCAUCCCUGGCUCGCCCCUCCUGGGAAUCCUGGCCGUGUUCUGCUGCGACAAGCACCCGUCCAUCCUGGGCAGCCCGCCCCAGAACCCCAUGGACGAGCCGCACGACUGGCAGCCCUUCGACUUCAUGCUGCACAAGUUCGUGUACGGCACAGAUGAGGAGCGCAACAAGACGCUCAAGCUCAUCCCGCACAUCGCCAGCGGCAGCUGGAUGAUCAAGCAAUCGGUGGGCACCACGCCCGUCAUCCUGGGCAAGGCGCUCAAGGUGUCGUACCACUGCACGCCCACCUACAUCGAGGUGGACAUCGACAUCUCCGCCAACAGCGUCGCCAACUACGUCACCGGCAUGGUGCGCGGAGCCACCAGCUCGCUCGAUAUCGACAUCGGACUUGUGCUGGAGGGUGCGUUUGGCUUUGUGCACGUCUUUGUUUCCUUCAGUCGUAUCCUCGCAACCGGCGGCCGCCUGUGAAGUUCAGCUAACCCAGACACUGCCGCUGUCAACGCUAUCGUGUAAGAGUGAACAAGCCGCCCGUUGCAAACCCCUGCCACAUGUGUGGCACGCACUUUGCACUUCACGCCCACGCAGG
rnacentral:lncRNA from 1 species